rnacentral:lncRNA from 1 species
CAGACACAUUUUCUUCACUACUCCAUUAUCUGGUUUUGUCCUAUUUCUUAGGGAGGCAGGAUAAGGCGUUGGCAUCCUAACUGCAGUGGGUGUUCCUUGUUGUUCGAUGUGCAUAUACUUACAGUUUAAUGACUCCUUAGUAAGCUCUGUGUGAUCUGCAGGUUUUAGGGUGUCCAUGGUUCUCCAAGGACACCAGAUUCUCUGUGGUGGAGGACAGCCUCGUUUUUCCCAGGCCCUCAGCUCAGGCCUAAGCGCAGCUUGACGUUGUCUUUAUACAGUAGUGACUGCCUUGAACAGUAACAAAGGUGAGGAAUGGGUAUAGGAUAGAUAAGGCAGCAGGAAAAGGAGGGAUAGGUAACUGAUCAAAGGAAAUAGAAAUAGGCCUUGGGAUGGGGGCAGGCAGGUGGGACCCCUCAGGAACCUGAGAGGGACAAAGCACCACGGCAGCUGCAAAUGAAGAUGGGAACACAGACCCAGGCUGAGAACAUGGAGAAGCAAAGGUCCUACAUGAUGACACAGGAGGAGAUACCCUGGUGGUCACACCUUUCAGGGAGGCCCGGAAAAAUGGAGGUUAACUUCAUUGUCAUCUGUCAUGGAACUGUGGCCACAAAAAGAGGCGUCUCUCAGGCCAGGUACUGUAGGAGUCCGCCCC